rnacentral:rRNA from 1 species
CCCUUAGAUGUUCUGGGCCGCACGCGUGCUACACUGAGUGGAUCAGCGGGUCAGGUUGCGCGAAAGCGUUUCCUAAUCUUUAAAUCCGCUCGUGAUGGGGAUUGACGGUUGCAAUUUUCUGUCAUGAACGAGGAAUACCUUGUAAGCGCGGGUCAUCAUCCCGCGCUGAAUACGUCCCUGCCCUUUGUACACACCGCCCGUCGCUCCUACCGAUUGAGUGGUCCGGUGAGGCUUUGGGAUCUGAGCGGAAAGAGCGUUUCGCUGUUUCUGCUCGGAAAACUCAGUCGAACCUUAUCAUUUAGAUGAAGGAGAAGUCGUAACA